CAUCCGCAAGCAGAGCCUCAGCGCAACGCGCCUCUCUCUGUGUGUGUCUGUCUGCCACGCGCGUCUUCGAGGUGGCCCGCAGGGAGACACACGGCAGGACGGAGGGGUGAGAGGGGUGACGCGAUACACGAAACUCGAGUAACACACCGCUGCACCCCUGCCCCUCCUUGGCUGCGUAAAACGUCGUCUUUCCGCUUCGCACACAACACGUACACACACACACACACACAGCGCCACGCUGUUAGCCAUGCCUACACUGCUCGUGUACCUCGUCAUCCUCGCCAUCGCCGCCGGCGUCACGUUUGCGCUCUUUGGCGAGGUCGGAGAGGCGGACGUGGCACCAGCGGACGCGCUGGAGCUGUUUGCUACUGCGACCCCCACGGCCAGCGGCGCCACAACUUUCUCGCUGGAGGCGACUACCGAGGCGAAGACCGGUGGUGACGACUGUGGUGCUCGCAAGAGCCAUGCCGCGCCGGGAGAUGAGAGCGGCAUAGCGCACAUCCAGUCGCUCUUAAUGAAGUGCGGCGUGCCACCUCAGCAGCAGGAGAUGAUAUCCUUCUUGGGCAGGCACUGUUGCGUGCUGCCGGUAAAGUCGCACACCGUCCGCGUGCUGAACCACCCCGCCGUCUUUUACGAGGAGCUGAAAAAGCGUGUCAUGGCGGCGCAGCGCUCCAUCACACUCUCGGCCCUCUACAUCGGUGAUGGGCCCCUCUCGAGAGCCUUCGUAGCAUGCUUGGAGGAGCGCGUGCGAUGGGCUGCAGCAGGCGGACACCCGUUCUCCAUCACGAUCCUACUUGACUACAACCGCAUGCAGGACCGAAAGAACUUGGUUUCACUGAAGACGCUGAUGGAGCUGGCACAGCAGACGGCGAGCACGGCCCCGCUGCCCGUCGACGCAGCCAUAGCGGGAGCGAGCGCGUCCUCUCCGACGACGCGCUCACCGUCCACGCUGGGCAGCUCCUCCAUCUUCGCAGACGGCGAGCGAGACGCCGAGGAAGACGAGGCGGUGCGUGGCGACAGCGCAGAUGGUGCAUCGGCCACCACCACCACCACCGCAGCUGCUGCGUCGACCGGGGUGAGAGUGCGUCUCUUCCUCUACCAGAACCCUAGCAAGUGGAAUGGAGUCUUCGCGCCCUUCGGGCGGGCCAAGGAGGUGCUCGGCGUGCAGCACACGAAGAUCUUUGUCUUCGACCAGCGCCACACCAUCCUGACCGGGGCGAACCUCUCAGACGACUACUUCGCCACCCGCAUGGAUCGCUACAUGAUAGUGGAGGACAACGUCCUCGUCGCGCGGUGGUUUACGCAGCUCGUGCGCACGGCGAAUCGCAUGUCGCACCCUGUCGUCUGCCGCAAGGAGUUUGCGGAGCAGCUCACCAGCGGCGCCGACACCUGUGCGAGUCGCACGCCUAACAAGAGUGGUGCGCUGGGGCAUUCUUCUGCCGCUUUCCUGUCCUCACGCAUGGCGGCGGCAACCGCGAACGGCUCCGCUCCAGAGCCGCUGCAAUCUCCAUUACGUUGGGUGGUGGAGAAGGUGAAUCGUGCGGUGUCGCCGCCACUGACAUCGCUGGUAUCGCAACGCGAGGGGUCGCCGACGCUGCAUCGCAAGAGCGACCUCGUAAUCUUGGCGAACGCGCUCCAGAUGGACCCCUCCGUCGACACGGAGGCAUUCUGUGCACGGGCCAACGCGCUGCUGCACGACUUUGCCGCGUGGGCACGGCGGCUGUGCGCGGCGGCGAAGGUCGACUGGGGCUGCUACGACACGUUUUUGUUUCCUACGGUGCAGGCGGGUCGUGCGGGGGUGUACCACGACAGCGUCAUCGUGAAGCAGCUGCUGCGGCUCUCCACCGCCGAGGAUCAUAUCUUUUUGGCCUCGCCGUACCUGAACAUGCACGCGUCCUUCGUGGACGAGGUGCUACACGGCACGAGCUACGUGGACUGCAUCACGGCGAGUGUGCAGACGAACGGCUGGAACGGGCAAAAAGGCAUGGCCGGCCGCAUCCCUCUCUUCUACCUGCAGCUGGAGCGAUCCUUCUAUUAUCUCAUGAAGGCGUACAACUGCCUGCGUCGGGUGCACAUCCGCGAGUUCUCCGUGAAGGGUUUGACCUUCCACGCGAAGGGCUUGUGGUUCAUGGGCCGGCGGUGCUGCUCAGGCGCCGCCGCCGCCGCCGCCUCCCCCCCAGGCAAAGACGGUGAGGGCGAUGCUAGGCAGCGCCACGACGACCGCGGCGCCGAUGCCGCGGCCGCAGACCCGUGCCCACCGGAGAGCAUCUCCGCUCCGUACCUCGUCGCGUACGGCAGCACCAACUAUGGAUAUCGCUCCGUUCACAAGGACGUCGAGGCGGAGGCGUUCCUGCUGACCACCAACGACGCACUGCGCGAGACGCUGCGGCAGGAGCUGCUCUUUCUUCUCCAGCAGUCUGUCCCAGUCACGGAGGCGCAGUUUGUGGGCACGGCGAUGGGCCGCUUCCAGCCUGUGAUUUCGCUGAUCGCUCACCUCGGCCACGAUUUCCUGUAAGCGCGCGGCGGUUUGCCGCGCUGGCGUGCCUUCGUACAGGCGUCUGUUGGAGAUGUGCCUGGGCGCACCACCGGCAUGCGGGCGGCCGGUGCUGCUGGUGGUGCCUGCCGCUAUUGGCUCACUUCUUGCUAACGUGGGGAGCUCAUAUAAAGCGCGAUACCUCGGAGGUGGGGCAGAGUUAGUGAGGAAGGAAGGGAGGACGGAAGAGGGGAUGCGUGCCAGUGCGCGCGUGUGCGCGUGGCGGUGCUGGCAUUGAUGGACGGUGUCCGUACUGUCGCCCGUGCCCACGCCACCAGCGAUGGCCCCACGGCGCCCCUCUUUUGGUUCCUCCUCAUUGCCUCACCCACGUCUCUCUCUCUCUGUGAGCGGGAGUGUGCGUGGCACGGAUUUGGCUCGGGCAGCAGCUGUACGCAAAGCAUGCCAGGAAAGUAAUGCAUAAGCGGUUGCCCACAGCGUGUGCGUGGAGGGAGGACGGCGGAGAGGCAGGGGGAGAAGGUAAGCGCGUGCUGUGCCAACUGCCAGUGUGACAACACCAUGUACGUGUGUGUCUCUCUCUCUCUCUCGUGAUAACCCUUACACAAAGUCUUCGCCUCACGAUCGGAUUU
rnacentral:misc_RNA from 1 species